GGGGGGAGCGCAGGGUCCUGGGCUGUGUCCCCCGCGCCCUGGGCUCCGGGGCCUGCGCUGCUGGGAUCGCGCUCCCGCCCCGCAGCCCCCU
rfam:Canis lupus familiaris chromosome 4, whole genome shotgun sequence.